AGGUCUGUGAAGAUCUGGAGCAUGGCCCAAUGGCGACAAUCAGCAUUGCCGGGAAUCGAACUCGGGUGUCCGGGCUGCCAGCGUGUUUACUAGGGAAGGCCUCGCUGACUAACAGGAGGCUGAUUCACGAGGAUCCUGCCAAGGAGAAGUCGGAUGAGCUAUGGAACUCUUCUUUCACAGAUGGCCGAAUUUUGGACGUUUGGCCAAAUGCCGAAACCACGGGUGAGAAAGCGGAGGUCGCAAAGGAAACCCGUCGCAGAACGCGGGGAGAACGCGACAACAUCUCGCGCAGAACGGGCGCCCGAGUCUGGAGUCGAACCCAGGUCCCUUCUUGCUGCGAGGCCGCGCGAGCGUUGGCGACUGCGCUGCCGCGACCCUGCCCCGCUACACACUCCCCCCCCCCCACCCCCGUUCCGUGUGUUGGCGGAGCGUCUGUCGACAGGGUCGCCUAAUUUAUCGAUUCACGGGGAGAGCCGUCGAUGGGAUUUCGUUUCUUUUCCUUUUCCCCGCCCUCACAGCCACGACGCUAUUGCUUUGUCGAUGGGCUGCGCCGGGUUCACGCACGGCGCUUCGCCCUUAAGCGCCACCGUGGUUUGGCAACGAAGCUCAAGUUGAAGUGCGACGCUCAACGCAUCACGGUGGGCUCGCAACAAAAGUCUCCGGUGACGCAGUUAGGACCCACGACGCACCCUGCAACUGAGAACCCGGUUGAAUUCAACUCGGUCUGUGUUCGUCUGCGGCUCCCUCCGUGAUCUUCUUGGUUCUUUCGGUAAAGUCACGUAGAAGGGAAAUAAUAAAAUAAUAAAAAUAAAACAUAAUAAAAUACAAUUCUCACGACGUUUCGGCCACAACGCAAGCAGCCGUCCUCAGGUGAAGAACAGGUCUGUCGGAAAGACAGCGUCAUUCAGACGCUGUCUUUCCGACAGACCUGUUCUUCCCUUCUACGUGACUUUACCGAAAGAACCAAGAAGAUGAAUCCCUGCAGUCACGAAAGCUUUAAAUCGAAAUCUCCCUCCGUGAGUUUGUUUGGCUCUGCGUGAGUCUACGGCGCGGGGGAGGGGGGGGGGUCUCUACGCGAGUCUUUGGCAACGGGGCUAGGACCCUGAAAGCACUGCAACUGAGAACCCGGUUUAACCACGGUUUGGCUGUACCGAAUCGAAUCCAGGGUCUUAGCGGUGGCAACUCAUCGCUCUGACCUCUGAGCGUGCAGGCCACCGCUAGGGCCACCGCCGGUAUGAAUGUAAUCAUUAAGCGCAAAUCAUCACGAUCCGUCUACCCAGAAAUGCGUGUCAUGCGCGGCUUUUCCUCUCCGUAUUCUCGUCCCACGCGAAUGAGUUGGCCCCGACUCAUCGUCGAUGCGGGGAAGCCACCCGAAAGGUACGACUCUGACGGGCAGCUUUUGAGACGUUCCAAUUCGAACGAAGUUCAAUCACGCGGGAGCUGAGCGCCUAAUCUUGACAGGAAGCUCAGCAGGCACCCGCCCAGGGGGCCUGGACAGGCGCCGGAUGGGCGACUAGAAAAAAAAAACCUCGAAAAUGAACUUUUUUACACUAUUGGAACCUCAUUUGCCAGAAGAAAAAAUAUGAUAAUUGUUUUUUACCCUUUUAUCUGGCAACAAAACCAACACCUUUUUUACAAGGAGUCAUGUUUGCAUAGACCACAAUACCUGCAGUCAUAAUGCAAACAAAAAACACAACUCUGAUCAUUUAUGCACUGUCCUUGAAGUUGAUUGGUCCACACCCGAGACAGCUUUCCUUAGAGCCUAGUCUCACAUGGUGUUGGACCAGAUGACGCCAAAAGGCGCACAACUCAAAGACAAUGCACCAUCAGAGUAUGAGAGCUCGGGGUAAGCAUUUACACCAUUGGAACCUCAUUUGCCAGAAGAAAAAAUAUGAUAAUUGUUUUUUACCCUUUUAUCUGGCAACAAAACCAACACCUUUUUUACAAGGAGUCAUGUUUGCAUAGACCACAAUACCUGCAGUCAUAAUGCAAACAAAAAACACAACUCUGAUAAUUUAUGCACUGUCCUUGAAGUUGAUUGGUCCACACCCGAGACAGCUUUCCUUAGAGCCUAGUCUCACAUGGUGUUGGAUCAGAUGACGCCAAAAGGCGCACAACUCAAAGACAAUGCACCAUCAGAGUAUGAGAGCUCGGGGUAAGCAUUUACACCAUUGGAACCUCAUUUGCCAGAAGAAAAAAUAUGAUAAUUGUUUUUUACCCUUUUAUCUGGCAACAAAACCAACACCUUUUUUACAAGGAGUCAUGUUUGCAUAGACCACAAUACCUGCAGUCAUAAUGCAAACAAAAAACACAACUCUGAUAAUUUAUGCACUGUCCUUGAAGUUGAUUGGUCCACACCCGAGACAGCUUUCCUCAGAGCCUAGUCUCACAUGGUGUUGGACCAGAUGACGCCAAAAGGCGCACAACUCAAAGACAAUGCACCAUCAGAGUAUGAGAGCUCGGGGUAAGCAUUUACACCAUUGGAACCUCAUUUGCCAGAAGAAAAAAUAUGAUCAUUGUUUUUUACCCUUUUAUCUGGCAACAAAACCAACACCUUUUUUACAAGGAGUCAUGUUUGCAUAGACCACAAUACCUGCAGUCAUAAUGCAAACAAAAAACACAACUCUGAUAAUUUAUGCACUGUCCUUGAAGUUGAUUGGUCCACACCCGAGACAGCUUUCCUUAGAGCCUAGUCUCACAUGGUGUUGGACCAGAUGACGCCAAAAGGCGCACAACUCAAAGACAAUGCACCAUCAGAGUAUGAGAGCUCGGGGUAAGCAUUUACACCAUUGGAACCUCAUUUGCCAGAAGAAAAAAUAUGAUAAUUGUUUUUUACCCUUUUAUCUGGCAACAAAACCAACACCUUUUUUACAAGGAGUCAUGUUUGCAUAGACCACAAUACCUGCAGUCAUAAUGCAAACAAAAAACACAACUCUGAUAAUGUAUGCACUGUCCUUGAAGUUGAUUGGUCCACACCCGAGACAGCUUUCCUUAGAGCCUAGUCUCACAUGGUGUUGGACCAGAUGACGCCAAAAGGCGCACAACUCAAAGACAAUGCACCAUCAGAGUAUGAGAGCUCGGGGUAAGCAUUUACACCAUUGGAACCUCAUUUGCCAGAAGAAAAAAUAUGAUAAUUGUUUUUUACCCUUCUAUCUGGCAACAAAACCGACACUUUUUUUACAAGGAGUCAUAUUUGCAUAGACCACAAUACCUGCAGUCGUAAUGCAAACAAUGCAAACAUGACUCCUUGUAAAAAUAAAAGGUGUCAGUUUUGUUGCCAGAUAAUAGGGCAAAAACCCAAUUAUCAUGAACUUUUUUAAAUCCUUUAUAUUAAGUUCGCUUGCUUGCGUGCUUGCGUGCUUGCUUGCUUGCUUACGACCGUGCAAAUCUUUCGGUCGUUAUUUAACCCACUUCCCAUGAUCCAAUCGAGCUGACAUUUUGCACACAGACUCGUUGUGCGAGACAAUUAAUGUUCGUGAAAAUUUUUUUCCAAAAAUUUUACACUUUUAGGGAAAACAAAUUAAAUAUUUAAUUACCAAUUGCUUAAUACUGGCAGAAAAUCAUCUGACCCAUAGGUGGCAGCCAUCUCAAGCCAGAGGACGAGAGGACUCUAGCCGCCACGCAUAUAAAGGAUUUAUAGUGAAAAACUUUGUUUUUACGGGUUAUACUUGUUAUUUUACCAGGUGAGGCCUACUGAGCGGUGUAGCUCCUUUUCAGAAGCGACCGCCUGUCCAUCACUAAUGGUGGCCCGACGAAGUGGCUUGUCGCGCGGAAAUUUAUAGCAGCCUCUGAACGCAUCUUCGGCAAAGUGCGGUUAAGUACGGUCAAAGCAACCCUCAGCAUAUGCACUGUGUGUGUGGGGGGCGGGGGGGGCUGCCCUGUGAUGUCGUCACUUGCGAGCCAAUGAGAUGUGCGGGGACGGUGAUAUUUUUAAAUGUACCGAUUGUCAAUGACAAAACGCGGUGUGCAUUUGUGCCAUUCCUUCACGUCAAGUCCUGGUCACAAAAGCAAAGUUUGUGGUGAAUAACAAUGGCCGUUUUCUGUACUUUAGAGGCAUAAGCAAUUAGAAAAUAACACGACCCAGGGACAAAACUCGUGUUACAAAGUGGAUUUACGAGUGACAGCAUCCUGCCUCAGCAGCUCUCUCGCUAAUUGUUUCACCUGAUGACGAUUGCUUGCGUUGCGAUCGAAACGUCGUGAUAUUUGUAGUGUUUUUUAAAUCCUUUAUAUUAAAUUCGCUUGCUUGCUUGCUUGCGUGCUUGCUUGCUUACGACCGUGCAAAUCUUUCGGUCGUUUUUUAACCCACUUCCCGUGAUCCAAUCGAGUUGACAUUUUCCACACAGACUCGUUGUGCCAGACAAUUAAUGUUCGUGAAAAAAAAAUUCCCAAAAUUUUACACUUUUUAGGCAAAAAAAAUGUAUUUUACAUAUAUUCAAAUAGAACUCAUUCAUUGCUUUGGCUGAACGUCACAGUAUAAGAGCCCAGAGCGUAACCCCUUCACAGGCCGUGGCGGAGUAGCGCAGUUGGUAGCGCCCUCGCUUCCCAUGCCAAAGGUCGCGGGAUCGAUCCCCGCGUCCUCCACAGGCGAAUAUAUUUUUAAAUCCUUUAUAUUAAGUUCGCUGCCACGCAUAUAAAGGAUUUAUAGUGAAAAACUUUGUUUUUACGGGUUAUACUUAUUUUCUCUCUCUACGUGGCUUUACCGAAAGACCCAAAGAAUAUGAAUUCCUGCAGUCACGAAAGCUUUAAGUCAAGAUUGUACUCGUGAGUGUCACUUGAAACGUGUUGUUUGCUUCGGGAAAUUAUUAUACCAAAGGCGUUUCCAUUCCCUUGUUUGAAAUGUUUCAUCCAAUCUUAGUCCUCAAUCUAGAUGCACUAAUAGGUAGUAUGUUUCUCUAAUCUUAAUGUUCGCUUUAGUUUGAAUAUUAAAUUAAUAUUUAAAUAACCUUUUUCAUUUGUUGACUAUUUUUCAUUGCUGUAUUUAUUGCAUUCAUAAUUUUAACAGUUUUUUCCGUUUUGUUCAUGAAACCAGAUUCAAGAGCGUCUUAGCUCAA